rnacentral:rRNA from 1 species
AUUGAACGCUGGCGGCAGGCCUAACACAUGCAAGUCGAGCGGAUGAAGGGAGCUUGCUCCUGGAUUCAGCGGCGGACGGGUGAGUAAUGCCUAGGAAUCUGCCUGGUAGUGGGGGAUAACGUCCGGAAACGGGCGCUAAUACCGCAUACGUCCUGAGGGAGAAAGUGGGGGAUCUUCGGACCUCACGCUAUCAGAUGAGCCUAGGUCGGAUUAGCUAGUUGGUGGGGUAAAGGCCUACCAAGGCGACGAUCCGUAACUGGUCUGAGAGGAUGAUCAGUCACACUGGAACUGAGACACGGUCCAGACUCCUACGGGAGGCAGCGGUGGGGAAUAUUGGACAAUGGGCGAAAGCCUGAUCCAGCCAUGCCGCGUGUGUGAAGAAGGUCUUCGGAUUGUAAAGCACUUUAAGUUGGGAGGAAGGGCAGUAAGUUAAUACCUUGCUGUUUUGACGUUACCAACAGAAUAGGCACCGGCUAACUUCGU